rnacentral:rRNA from 1 species
AUGCCCCUGGACUUCACCAAGCACUUGGUCGCGGUGCCGACAGAGUUCAAGCUCAGGAACAACACCGGCUGCUCCUGGAAGGUGAUGGUCAAGCUGAUGAACGGCAGGGUGACCCUGGAUCAGGGUUGGGCCACCUACGCAGCCGUUCAUCAGAUCAAGAUCGGCUACAUGGUGACGUUCAAGCUCCUCACUCCCGACACCCUCAAGGUCAUCAUCUUCGACGAUGAUGGCAUUGAGGUCGUCAACAAGAGCGGGAAGCACGACGAAGCCUUCGCCGCCAAGGAGUAG